GAGUGCACCCAAGUCCGG
rnacentral:snRNA from 1 species